CUUGGUGAUAAUUGACAGAUUCUCCAAAUAUAGGACCUGUGUGCCGAUGUCUAAAUAUUGUUUAGCAGAAGAUACUGCUCGUGCCUUUUUCAAACAUGCAAAUAAUUAUUGGGGUAUCCAAAAGAGCAUUAUAAGUGAUCGAAAUGGUUGAUUUGUGGGAUCAUUUUGAUCAAAGUUGUUCCGCCUGUUGGGUUCUAGAUUUGAUGUCUCAACGAGUUUCCAUCCCCAAAAAGAUGGUCAAAUUGAGAGAUUUAAUGGGUUGCUUGAAGAAUAUUUGAGGCAUUUUGUUAAUGCUAGUCAAAAGAAUUGGGCUUUCUUACUUAAUGUGACACAAUUUUGUUUUAAUUCUUUAA
rnacentral:misc_RNA from 1 species